AGCAGCCGCGGUAAUUCCAGCUCCAAUAGCGUAUAUUAAAGUUGUUGCAGUUAAAAAGCUCGUAGUUGAAUUUCGGGAUCAAUACGUCGGUCGUGCUUCGGUACGUACUGGCGUAAUUGAUUUCUCCCUUCUGACGAACCAUGAUGUCAUUAACUUGGUGUCAUGGGAAAUCAGGACUGUUACUUUGAAAAAAUUAGAGUGUUUAAAGCAGGCUCACGCUUGAAUACAUUAGCAUGGAAUAAUGAAAUAGGACGUUCGAUCCUAUUUUGUUGGUUUUUAGGAUCAACGUAAUGAUUAAUAGGGAUAGUUGGGGGCAUUAGUAUUCAAUUGUCAGAGGUGAAAUUCUUGGAUUUAUUGAAGACUAACUACUGCGAAAGCAUUUGCCAAGGAUGUUUUCAUUAAUCAAGAACGAAAGUUAGGGGAUCGAAGACGAUCAGAUACCGUCGUAGUCUUAACCAUAAACU
rnacentral:misc_RNA from 1 species